UGUGAAUGAGUAUGCAGGGUGCUUUUCACAUCAUUUUGAAGCAAAAACUCAAGGCUUCAACAUCCAAUACUCAAAAGUCUUGUGGAUACAUAUUUAGUAUUUGAUUUGUGGCCUUAUUUCAGUGACUUAUUUUUUGUUUUUUUCAAUAACCACGCAUAAACGUUAUUCUCUCAAAAAUACAAACAUGUACAUACAUGUUGCUCACAUAUUAUGGUAGCCUAGUUCAUGCUGAAUACAGUUUAAUGACACUUUUGCCAUUCAUAUGUUUAUAAGCAACUGAAAAAAGCACAAAUGUCAGUUCAUGUCAAAACAAAAAAGGGAAGAGGAGACAGAACAGGAAAUUUUGUUGGCUCAUGACAUCACAACAAUCAAAGGGGAAAGCACUCAUUUCGAUCAGGCAGCUACAUCAGGAAUAUGUAAAUGAACAAUUUUGUGUGAAUUCUACUUCACAAUACAUAUAUUUAACAGUAUAAUUUAUAUACCUGUUACACAAGCACCUAGUUUGUUUUAUUAAUUUUAUCUUUAAUGAAAGUUUCUAUCUUGUAUUAUUUCAGUCCUGAUUUUUGAAUGUUGCUAUAAAAUAUGUCAGUGUAAACGAAAGCCAGAGAAGCUGUUUGGGUCUUUGAUUAAUGUUCCUGAUCAUGUGACUAAUAUGCAAUUGUGCCUUAUAAUGUAGCUGUUUGGAAAACUCUUGAUGAAAGGACAGAUGAAGUACAACUUUUUUUCUCUUCAUCUGGAAUGACCAUUCAUGUUGCUCCCCCUUUCCACAGCAUCCUUCUGUGAUUGGAUUUCAGUCUAGAAACAAAAGUGAAAGGAGAAGAAGAAAAAGAAGUGAUUCAGUUCUGAGGCUUUAAACCUGUUAACACUGGAUAUUUAAACGGCCGCAUAUUCUGUGUUUUGCUGGCUGUAAUCUCACUGGUCAACAUUGUGAAAUUGUGUCUUCAGCUCUACAAUCCUCUAACUCUGUCCUGAGAGAGCUGGACCUGAGUAACAAUGGAAUGCAGGAUUCAGGAGUGAAGCUGCUCUCUGAUGGACUGAAGAGUCCAAACUGUCAGCUGGAGAUACUGAGGUUCUGUGUCGAGAGAGUCUGACUGGACGCUGUUACUGGGAAGUUGAAUGGAGCCUUAAGGAUGCUGAACAGAGCUCUUGGGCUCGUAUAGCAGUGGCCUAUAAAGAAAUCAGCAGGAAAGAAGGGACUGUCUGGAUACAAUAAGAAGUCCUGGUGUCUUUUCUGCAAUAGUAAUGGAUUUGCUGUCUGGUACAAUAAUGUCAUCAAUAACAUACCAACCCAUUUACCACAAUCUAAUAGAGUAGGAGUGUAUGUGGACGUGUCAUCCGGCACUCUGUCCUUCUACAGCGUCUCUGACACACACACACACACUUAUACACAUUUAACACCACAUUCACUAAACCCCUCUAUGCUGGAUUUAAGGUUUUUAAGUCUGAACUGUCUCUGUGUCAAAUUGCACAACAGACACACAAUUGAGAACACCUUCUACCUCCACCAUAAUCUUGGCAUAUGGUUAUAAGUGGAAAAGUUGAAUGUUUGAAUAUUGUAUGAAUUUAGCUACAGAAAUAAUGUAAAGACAAAAUUUAGUACAUGUGCUUGUAAAAGUAUUUUAAAACAUGAAUGUGUCAAAUGAUGUAUAUUCUGUCUUAAAGGAACAAAUGUGAAUGUAAGAACCUUCAUUCAGAAGGUUCAGGGUUCAUCUAUUGAGCUUUCUGUAUCUUUUCUGUGAAGUUCCUCCGAAUAGAUUCUCAGUCAUCAAUGGCGAUUCUAGUGUUGGAUUCAUCUGUUGAUUCUCAUAAAUGUCAGAAUGUGCAGAUUUUACUGUCUGGUCCAUAAGCAACUGUAAAUAUAAACUGUGUAAAUAAUGAAGCUCAUCAAACCUUUCUGGGUUUCAGUUUUACGUAUUUUACAUUAUCCAGAUUUUUGUGAUUACUGAUUGUUGCACUACAAACAUUUGCACUAUACAGAUAUCUGCACUACCACUAUACCAAGUGACUUUUAUGUUCAUUGGAUUCGUUGUUUGGAUUCAAAGGACUAUUUUUAGCUCAUGUUCACACUUGUUCCAUGGGCUGAGAACUGUUUAUCUAUAGUAAAUUUCUGUCAAGUUUUGUACUAUUUUCUGUUAAAAUAAUUGUUUGGUAAUCUGUUUAUUGAAAUUGCAUUUUCUUUUAUGGGUUAAAUGUUCUAAUUCAAACAUAUGAACAGGAAACAAAGCUCUAAAAAACUAGAAGAGAUUAGAAAACAACAUCAAACUAAAAUUUAAGUCAAUUAAAAACAAAUCUAUAUACGAAAAGACAAUUUAAAUACCAAAGUAAACAAAUAUAGUACUAAUAGAUAUAUCUAGAUCAAUAACUAUAAAAGAGUUUAAACGAGGGGUGUCCAACCCUGCUCCUGGAGAUCUACCGUCCUGCAGACUUCAGUUCCAACCCAGCUCCAACACAUAAUUCACUUGUAUGGGUAGUAUUUUCUUUCAUAUUAUAGUAUAUUUGCUUGUUUUUGAUUUACUGCCAUAUAUUAAUGAUUGCUAUGAUGUGUUAUCUACUUUUAAGUAAUACUAAAUAUGCUUGCAAAAAAUGCUAAUGUUGUGUAAACUGCAACGCAGAAUGAUGUAGUAGAGAUAAGAUGAAAUGUGUAGAUGUUCAUGAACUGAUUGUAACCAACCUGAAAGGGUAACAAGAAGGCACAUGAGCAUGAAGAAAGCAUGUUGCAACCUAAAGCUGAGGUGAGCCAAAUGAAGACUUCAGUGAAGAAGAGGAAGAGUGGGUGUAGGUGACAAAGGAAGGACGUCUGUCUUAGUAAGCAAGAGAUGCAGAGACUGAUAUGCUUACAACAGGAAGAUUGAAUCAUAGAUCAGUUGAUGAGUAAUAUGAAUUUGCAAUGUCCCAAAAAGUAGUAUAAAAGUCUGAGGAGUAAAAGGCCUCCUCACAUGCUGCCUAACGAGCAUCUCCAAUAUUGCUGGAUAAAGCUAGGUUAUAGAGCUUUUUAACUUAAGCUGAUUUAAGUUUUAUUUUGCAUUAACUGCUUUGUAUUUUAACCAAUAAAAGAGAUAUUUUAUUGUUA